GUAGAAGAAAAAUAGACGUUGGGGAACCCUCCCAUCUCUUCUUCGUCGAAACGCCAAAAGAGAGAGAGAGAGAGUCGAGGAGGAGGCAUCAUGGCUUUUGGGGUUGAGAGUUGGACGCCAAGAAGCAUAGUUCGGUUGGAAAAGGCAUCUCCUUCUGGGCAGCAUGGUUGAGCAGGCUGUCUAUCAAAGGCUAUUGCUUCUUGUGCUUCAAUGGUCGUAUCAACAACUUUUUUAAACGUGAAGAAGAUGCAUGUAUGUUUCCAAAGUUUUAGGUUUCUAGAGGUAGGAACUGGAACUACUGAUGGUGCACUACAUUAAGAGUUGAAGGUGAAGAACAACAACAAGGUGGAGGGGAGAAAGUUGUAAUUAACAGCUUGGGAUUUGGAAAUGCUAUCCACUUCUUAUAUACAAAAAGGGCUACGUUUACAAAUCCUCUAGGCUGUUGGAAGCCACCACCGAACGCCGCCUCAAGUCAUCCCUCUCCCGAUGCCUCUUGCACUUCCCCUUGUGAGACUACCAACUUCGUUGAUUGCUGUGAUGAAGGUGUAUGGUUUGAUGUGUUUGAUUGCUGUGACGAAGGUGUAUGGUUUGAUGUGGCUGCUGCCGAUUGGGUCGGUGUGUUGAAGUUGAUGUCCGCUGGUGAGGUUCAAGUCAUUGUCAAUUCCUUGUUGCCACUGGUUGAUGGCACGAUGAUCAACUUUGAUGAUUACUUUCUGCCUCUCCUUGCAGUUCAGGAUAUGGCGUUUUUGUGCAUCAACGGAUUCAGACUGUCUGCCCUUGAGCGGUGCUCCCUUUCUUUUUCCCCCAUUGGUUCUUCCUUAAUGCGUUCCUUAGACGGAUGAGCCAGUACGUGAUCACAGUCGAUAACUUCUUUGUCUCCAGACGCUCAUGUUAAAGUCGGGGAUGGCUACCUCAAACAGGAGAAAAGUAAGUUAGGGUUUCUCGGGCUGGGAUGCUCGAUGUCUUGGAACCUUGGCCUUGUCAUCCUCUGUCCACUCACAAUCUCAAGGACUAUGACCUCAAGACAGCUGGGUUGGGACAAUUGAAAUAGGAAAGUUCUAAUUCAAUAUCAGACGGGGAAGAGAGUUUGAUCUUAAAAGCAAUCACAAGGGUUUUGAUUUUCGUUCUACUUGGUCUUCUUGUAGUGUGCAUGAUUGUUGUGGGGAUGUGCCUAGGGUUCCGACCUUGACUUGCUCUGGUUUUUAAGGAUCGGAUUUAGGAAAAUCAACAAUUGAAUGAGAAUCGAGCCACUCGCUUUUGCCGCCACAGUUUUGGUCCUUAUUUUUUUGUUCGGUUUACUAACUACAGUUGUCUUUUCCUGUAGAGCACCUCACUGUCAGUUAACAAUGUUCUUGCAUGUUGUGGGUCUAUGUGUGGAGGUGGCUGUGAUGGAGGCUGGCCUAUCAAUGGCUGUCAAUACUUUGUCCAAAAUGGCGUCGUCACAGAAGAGGUAUAAUAUUAAAGAUUGAUAUUCUGUAGCUCGGUCUUUGAAUUGUGUAGUAGACAUAGUUUCCCAAACGAGUAACCAUGUAGAAAUCCUUCAUCAAAUGUGCUGCUGAUUGACUUCUUUUGGUAUGCAUUAUACAGUAAGAGCUAAAUUUAUCCUAUGCUUGGGAUUCCUUCACGGAUAUAGCAAUCUUUAUGCACUAUUUUUGAACAUAGAAAUAAUAUGCCUAAAGAUGGGGAUGAGAAUGGAAGUGCAGCCGAUGUUCUUAAGAAAGGAGAUGAGAGGAUAGGUUCUGGUCUUCAAGCUGCACAGCUGCAUUUUUCACACAUCCUCCACUCACAUCGGUAUUUCCAAAAGUACAACAAGGCUCAAGCUAAGCCAAAGAAUGGAAAGGAAGAAGGUUGAAGAUGCCCGGCCAAAAAAAACCCUCGUUGCCUGUUCAUUGAAAGUUCAACCAAAUUUUACAUUUGAUUCUUGGAAUUCAUCCUCUGGUGUUGGUUUCGGCUUUGUGUUGAGAGAGAAUUUCUUCAUUUGAAAUUAUAAAAAAAGCAAAAAAAAUAAGAAAAGGAACUGAUAUAUGCUGAAAAAACCAAAGUCAACCAGCUGCAAUAUA